UACGUAGGGGGCAAGCGUUGUCCGGAAUCAUUGGGCGUAAAGAGCGCGUAGGCGGCCCGAUAAGUCCGCUGUGAAAGUCAAGGGCUCAACCCUUGAAUGCCGGUGGAUACUGUCGGGCUAGAGUCCGGAAGAGGCGAGUGGAAUUCCUGGUGUAGCGGUGAAAUGCGCAGAUAUCAGGAGGAACACCAAUGGCGAAGGCAGCUCGCUGGGACGGUACUGACGCUGAGGCGCGAAAGCAUGGGGAGCGAACAGG
rnacentral:rRNA from 1 species